AAGUAAUUCCCCACAAUUAAAUAUUGGCCCAAAGAUAAUUAUUUACUUAGUCCACCUUAUUCCUCCAAACCCAUUUGAUGAGGCCCAAUAAGAAGGCCCAAAAGAGUGACCCACAUACACUCCUUCCUCCACAAUCGGUCAAACCCCUCUUUCUUUUCCUCAUUCCACACAAAGGAUAAAUUCCCCCAAUUCACGUCGUCUCCUUCACUACACCCAAGUCCAAAUGUCGUCGCCAGUUUGCUGCCCUAGGUUCAAACACCGCACCGCCGCCGGUCACUGCGGUCUGCUGUCUCCGACAAGAUUCGCUGCAGCGCCGCCCUCGGUCAGACAUCGCCGCCGGUUUGGCUGCUUUCGACGCUCGAACAGCCCCGCCGCUGUCAGAACUCGACUCGAACAGCUCUGAAACAACCCCGAUUGACCCCGAGAGAUAAGUUUCUUUUACAAUUAUGCUCUUUCGUUUCAGUUUUCAAUUAAUCAGUUAUGGGUGUUCAAUUGUUGGAGUUUGAUUGUUGAUGGAAAUUAUGAGUGGGAGUGAUGUAUGAUGAACAUGAUAUGAAUAACACUGAUCAAAAGGAAAGGGAUUUAUACCUUCGUUGCUAUGAAUUUGAUUGUGAACUUGGUAGAGCCGAAAGGAAUGGCUCCUUGAACUUGGCAGGUUUGAAUCUGUCAACAAUUAUUGCUAAAGUUGAUUUCGAACAGUAGGAAGAAGUCUCCAAAUGAAUUGAUGAAAUGGAUUACCUAGUUUGGGAUUGAAAUGAGAACGAGGCAGCUCUUCGAACUCUUGGUUUCUGCUAGGAAUUUCAUAGAAUCAUUCCAUAAGUUCUAGGUUGUGACGGAUUGGAAUUCAAAGGAAAGUUUGAAAGGAGGUGAUAGAACCUGGAAAUCAAAAGCUCUUCUACUCUCCUUCUCUCUCGGCUCUCUCUCUCUCUCUCACUUUGUUUUUGCUUGGAUUGCAGAUUGUAACCGUGUUUAUGAGGGAGUGAAACCAGGAGAAUUAGUUGAGAUUAAAUCCCAUUCAAUUAGGUAUUUAAAAGGUAACGGCUCAUGGAGUGGAGUAGAAGCUGAAGCAAUACUCUGCAGAAAUCUCACGCUGGAAUGGGAGCAGAUUUAUGUCAAUCUGAAGGAACAACCGUGUAGUAUGGAAGAGGGAAGGAUUGGGCUCAAAAUCUAUCUCCCAUAUUUUAUUUAUUUGUUGAAGUUCAUAGGCCCAAAAUGAUUUAUUUUGUUGUAAAUAAAUCAAGCCCAAACUUAUUUAUUUGCCAUAGAACUCUUCUAUUUUCCAUGGCCCAAAGCCAUCGUGAACCAGCGUUUGAACUCUAAUUCAUCAUUUGAGAAGUCCAAGUGUAUUAUUAUUA